ensembl:lncRNA
AGAGAAUUCAUUUGAGGAAUAAAUAAAUCUUCAGAAAGACAAACGUUGACACUUGCAGCUUAUAUCCUCCAUGUGGGGACCCCUGACCUUCCUGCGUGUUACCCUUUCAGUAUUAUAAUUUCCAGGCCCAUUCACUUUGGUGUUUAAUUUUGUUUUCCCAUCAAUGUUGCAUUUUUCUUGGAUAAUUCCGUUCAGUUUGUGUUUACUACUUCAUAUGUGCUAAAUCCUCAGUACAUCUACUCUUGGAAUUCCAUGAAGACUUCCCCCAGGUGUAUGGGCGAAACCAUUUUAAGGCACAAUUGACCUUCAAGGAUAUGUUCAUAGAUUUCACUCCUGAGGAGUGGGAAUGCCUGAACCCUGCCCAGAGGACCUUGUACCAGGACGUGAUGGUGGAGACCCUCAGGAACCUGCUGUCUGUGGAUAUGUCUCAUAUACAUAUGAUGAAGAAAUUACAGGUAAAAGCAAACAGUAGUAAAGGGGAAAUUUUUUAAGAAUGAUGUUUGGAAGAGCUGAAAGCCUUGAAAGCAAAGAUUUUCGCCUCAGGAAGAUCCAGGAAAAUAUACAUGACUUUGACUGUAUGUGGACAGAUGAUGAAAGAAAUGACAAAGGAAUCUCUACAUCCCAUAACAAAAACCUCAUUGAUGGAAGAGAUCAUCAUAGUAGAAGUGAUGCAGGAAAUAGACCUUUUGAAAGGCACAGAUCAAGCUUUCA